AUGGGUGGCUGUGGCCUCGGCGCCAUGGGUGGCAUGGGUGGCUUCGGAGCUACCGUGGGCGGUGCAAUGGGAGGCAUUGCUGGCUUUGGAGCACCCUCCGACGCUAUGGCCACCAUGGGAGGCAUGAGUUUUGCUUCUCUCAUGGGAGGCAUGGGUGCACCUCCGGCCGCCAUGGGCGGAAUGUCUUUUGAUGUACCUCCUCGCACACAUUCCCAUGAAGAUGCCGUUGAAGAUCUUGCCAACACCGUCGGAGCUUCACGUGAUGCGAUGCGCGAUGAGGAGAGGGAGGAAGAUUCAUCUUCGGAGGCGGAAGAAUCGUCUUCCGAAGAUGAGGACGAAGACGAGGACGAGGAAUGA
rnacentral:rRNA from 1 species